UACGGGGGGGGCAAGCGUUGUUCGGAAUUACUGGGCGUAAAGGGCUCGUAGGCGGCCAACUAAGUCGGAUGUGAAAUCCCCAGGCUUAACCUGGGAACUGCAUCCGAUACUGGAUGGCUUGAAUCCGGGAGAGGGAUGCAGAAUUCCAGGUGUAGCGGUGAAAUGCGUAGAUAUCUGGAGGAAUACCGGUGGCGAAGGCGGCAUCCUGGACCGGCAUUGACGCUGAUGAGCGAAAGCCAGGGGAGCAAACCGG
rnacentral:rRNA from 1 species